UGGGGAAUAUUGCACAAUGGGCGCAAGCCUGAUGCAGCCAUGCCGCGUGUAUGAAGAAGGCCUUCGGGUUGUAAAGUACUUUCAGUCGGGAGGAAGGUGUCAAGGUUAAUAACCUUGGCAAUUGACGUUACCGACAGAAGAAGCACCGGCUAACUCCGUGCCAGCAGCCGCGGUAAUACGGAGGGUGCAAGCGUUAAUCGGAAUUACUGGGCGUAAAGCGCACGCAGGCGGUUGAUUGAGUCAGAUGUGAAAUCCCCGGGCUUAACCCGGGAAUUGCAUCUGGUAGUGGUCAGCUAGAGUCUUGUAGAGGGGGGUAGAAUUCCAUGUGUAGCGGUGAAAUGCGUAGAGAUGUGGAGGAAUACCGGUGGCGAAGGCGGCCCCCUGGACAAAGACUGACGCUCAGGUGCGAAAGCGUGGGGAGCAAACAGG
rnacentral:rRNA from 1 species